rnacentral:rRNA from 1 species
UACAGAGGUGCCAAGCGUUAGGCGGAAUCACUGGGCUUAAAGCGCGUGUAGGCGGGUCGUUAAGUGUCCGCGUGAAAUCCCACGGCUCAACCGUGGAACUGCCGGGCAUACUGGCGAUCUUGAGGCAUUCAGGGGCGAGCGGAACAAGUGGUGGAGCGGUGAAAUGCGUAGAUAUCACUUGGAACGCCAAUGGUGAAAACAGCUCGCUGGGAAUGAUCUGACACUGAGACGCGAAAGCCAGGGGAGCGAACGGG